rnacentral:tRNA from 1 species
UCUAACGUGGCAGAUAAGUGCGGUGGAUUUAAGCUCCACGUAUAAAGCAUUCUAAAGCUUUCCUUAGAA